rnacentral:rRNA from 1 species
AUUGAACGCUGGCGGCAGGCCUAACACAUGCAAGUCGAGCGGAUGAAGGGAGCUUGCUCCUGGAUUCAGCGGCGGACGGGUGAGUAAUGCCUAGGAAUCUGCCUGGUAGUGGGGGAUAACGUCCGGAAACGGGCGCUAAUACCGCAUACGUCCUGAGGGAGAAAGUGGGGGAUCUUCGGACCUCACGCUAUCAGAUGAGCCUAGGUCGGAUUAGCUAGUUGGUGGGGUAAAGGCCUACCAAGGCGACGAUCCGUAACUGGUCUGAGAGGAUGAUCAGUCACACUGGAACUGAGACACGGUCCAGACUCCUACGGGAGGCAGCAGUGGGGAAUAUUGGACGAUGGGCGAAUGCCUGAUCCAGCCAUGCCGCGUGUGUGAAGAAGGUCUUCGGAUUGUAGAGCACUUUAAGUUGGGAGGAAGGGCAGUAAGUUAAUACCUUGCUGUUUUGACGUUACCAACAGAAUAAGCACCGGCUAACUUCGUG